AAGUGUUCGGAUCGCGGCGACUUGGGCGGUUCGUUGCCCGUGACGUCGCGAGAAGUCCACUGAACCUUAUCAUUUAGAGGAAGGAGAAGUCGUAACAAGGUUUCCGUAGGUGAACCUGCGGAAGGAUCAU
rnacentral:rRNA from 1 species